CUAGUAAUCGCGGAUCAGCAUGCCGCGGUGAAUACGUUCCCGGGCCUUGUACACACCGCCCGUCACACCAUGGGAGCCGGUAAUACCCGAAGUCAGUAGUCCAACCACGUGAGGACGCUGCCGAAGGUAGGAUUGGCGACUGGGGUGAAGUCGUAACAAGGUAGC
rnacentral:rRNA from 1 species